rnacentral:rRNA from 1 species
UACGAAGGGAGCUAGCGUUGUUCGGAAUCACUGGGCGUAAAGCGCACGUAGGCGGAUUUGUUAGUCAGGGGUGAAAUCCCGGGACUCAACCUCGGAACUGCCUUUGAUACUGCAAAUCUCGAGUCCGGAAGAGGUGGGUGGAAUUCCUAGUGUAGAGGUGAAAUUCGUAGAUAUUAGGAAGAACACCGGUGGCGAAGGCGGCCCACUGGUCCGGUACUGACGCUGAGGAGCGAAAGUGUGGGGAGCGAACAGG